AACGAACGCUGGCGGCAGGCUUAACACAUGCAAGUCGAGCGAGACCUUCGGGUCUAGCGGCGGAAGGGUGAGUAACGCGUGGGAACGUGCCCUUCUCUACGGAAUAGCCCCGGGAAACUGGGAGUAAUACCGUAUACGCCCUUUGGGGGAAGAUUUAUCGGAGAAGGAUCGGCCCGCGUUGGAUUAGGGAGUUGGUGGGGGAAUGGCCCAACAAGCCGACGAUCCAUAGCUGGUUUGAGAGGAUGAUCAGCCACACUGGGACUGAGACACGGCCCAGACUCCUACGGGAGGCAGCAGUGGGGAAUCUUAGACAAUGGGGGCAACCCUGAUCUAGCCAUGCCGCGUGAGUGAUGAAGGCCUUAGGGUUGUAAAGCUCUUUCAGCUGGGAAGAUAAUGACGGUACCAGCAGAAGAAGCCCCGGCUAACUCCGUG
rnacentral:rRNA from 1 species